GUUGUAUGGUUAAGUGACUAAGCGUACACGGUGGAUGCCUGGGCAGUCAGAGGCGAUGAAGGACGUACUAACUUGCGAUAAGCGCAGAUAAGGCAGUAAGAGCCGUUUGAGUCUGCGAUUUCCGAAUGGGGAAACCCAACUGCAUAAGCAGUUACUGUUAACUGAAUACAUAGGUUAACAGAGCAAACCGGGGGAACUGAAACAUCUAAGUACCCCGAGGAGAAGAAAUCAACCGAGAUUCCGGUAGUAGCGGCGAGCGAACCUGGAUUAGCCCUUAAGCACUCGGUGAAGUAGGUGAACAAGCUGGAAAGCUUGGCGAUACAGGGUGAUAGCCCCGUAACCGACGCUUCAUCGAGCGUGAAAUCGAGUAGGGCGGGACACGUGAUAUCCUGUCUGAAUAUGGGGGGACCAUCCUCCAAGGCUAAAUACUCCUGACUGACCGAUAGUGAACCAGUACCGUGAGGGAAAGGCGAAAAGAACCCCUGUGAGGGGAGUGAAAUAGAACCUGAAACCGUGUACGUACAAGCAGUAGGAGCACCUUCGUGGUGUGACUGCGUACCUUUUGUAUAAUGGGUCAGCGACUUAUAUUCAGUGGCAAGGUUAACCGUAUAGGGGAGCCGUAGCGAAAGCGAGUCUUAACUGGGCGCUCAGUCUCUGGAUAUAGACCCGAAACCGGGUGAUCUAGCCAUGGGCAGGUUGAAGGUUGAGUAACAUCAACUGGAGGACCGAACCGACUAAUGUUGAAAAAUUAGCGGAUGACUUGUGGCUAGGGGUGAAAGGCCAAUCAAACUCGGAGAUAGCUGGUUCUCCCCGAAAGCUAUUUAGGUAGCGCCUCGGACGAAUACUACUGGGGGUAGAGCACUGUUAAGGCUAGGGGGUCAUCCCGACUUACCAACCCUUUGCAAACUCCGAAUACCAGUAAGUACUAUCCGGGAGACACACGGCGGGUGCUAACGUCCGUCGUGGAGAGGGAAACAACCCAGACCGCCAGCUAAGGUCCCAAAGUAUUGCUAAGUGGGAAACGAUGUGGGAAGGCUCAGACAGCUAGGAUGUUGGCUUAGAAGCAGCCAUCAUUUAAAGAAAGCGUAAUAGCUCACUAGUCGAGUCGGCCUGCGCGGAAGAUGUAACGGGGCUAAGCAAUACACCGAAGCUGCGGCAAUGUCUUUUAGACAUUGGGUAGGGGAGCGUUCUGUAAGCCGUUGAAGGUGAAUCGUAAGGUUUGCUGGAGGUAUCAGAAGUGCGAAUGCUGACAUGAGUAACGACAAAGGGGGUGAAAAACCUCCUCGCCGGAAGACCAAGGGUUCCUGUCCAACGUUAAUCGGGGCAGGGUGAGUCGACCCCUAAGGUGAGGCCGAAAGGCGUAAUCGAUGGGAAACGGGUUAAUAUUCCCGUACUUCUGACUAUUGCGAUGGGGGGACGGAGAAGGCUAGGUGGGCCAGGCGACGGUUGUCCUGGUUCAAGUGCGUAGGCUUGAGAGUUAGGUAAAUCCGGCUCUCUCUAAGGCUGAGACACGACGUCGAGCUACUACGGUAGUGAAGUCAUUGAUGCCAUGCUUCCAGGAAAAGCCUCUAAGCUUCAGAUAGUCAGGAAUCGUACCCCAAACCGACACAGGUGGUCGGGUAGAGAAUACCAAGGCGCUUGAGAGAACUCGGGUGAAGGAACUAGGCAAAAUGGUACCGUAACUUCGGGAGAAGGUACGCUCUUGAUGGUGAAGUCCCUCGCGGAUGGAGCUGACGAGAGUCGCAGAUACCAGGUGGCUGCAACUGUUUAUUAAAAACACAGCACUGUGCAAAAUCGCAAGAUGACGUAUACGGUGUGACGCCUGCCCGGUGCCGGAAGGUUAAUUGAUGGGGUUAGCGCAAGCGAAGCUCUUGAUCGAAGCCCCGGUAAACGGCGGCCGUAACUAUAACGGUCCUAAGGUAGCGAAAUUCCUUGUCGGGUAAGUUCCGACCUGCACGAAUGG
rnacentral:rRNA from 1 species